UUUUAUCAGCAAAUCCAGCUCGUCUGCUCAUCAGCUUUAUUUUAGCCUCAUUUUUUAUUUCUUGGCCGUGCUUCUGGAGAUAUGGUAGCAUGACCUCUUUUCUUCCCAGAUCUGUUUUUCAUCUGCCUCUUGCCUCUUGUGAAUUCUUUUGUUUUCUUUGCCGUGGAUUUUGGCCUCCUCUGACCAAUCUCCCCAGAUCGUAUUUUCAUUUGGCUCUUUUAGAUUUUCCCGUUUCUUUGACCGGCGAUGACUUCCCCAUGAUUUUUGGCCUCGCAUUGCCGCCAUUGACGAGAGGAGCCGCAGUUGGCCACCGCCGAUUUCGCCCGUUCCAGGAGCAUCCCAUCGUUCCGCCCCGAACAGUGCUGACGAGAGGGGCAGCAUAUGGCACCCCUCCUGUAGCCGGCCACGAGGAAGACCAGCGGGAGCUGCAGGACAGAACCUCCAUCUUACAAAAAUUAUGCCCACACGUGAGAGAUCAGAGAUGAACAACGUCAAAUCUCAGGUCAGAAAAAACCGUACUCCUCUCUCCCUCUCCAUAUGAUUUCCUUCAUAUUUUCUGCGUCCCCUCCUCAACCCACCUCCUAGAUUUCUAUUCGCGUAAUACUUAUGGUGUCUGAGAUUUGCUUAUGAGUUUAGUGUCAAAAUUGAUAAGUAGAUGAAACUAGGUUGGCUUCCCAUGAAGGCAUGCACUCGAUUUGUAUUCUCAGGUCCUCCAUCCAGAUGGUGUAUUAUCAUGUUUUUUUAUCAGUCUCAUUAGGCGUGGAAUUUUGUUUUUUGACUAAUCAGUCUCUCUUAAAUCAUCUGGAUUGGUUGGUUGAUUGUUUUGCAGAAAUUCAGUAGCAUGGUAUUAAAAAGAUCUUAAUUAGUCAUUUGUGAUGCCUAUACCACACACAAUAUUUGUUGCUCGUGUUUUUACGUCGACACACAAGCGUUGGGAUUCUGAUGUGCCCCCGUCAGCGCACGGAGGUUGGUGAUUGAUGCUCUUGUUAUUUCACUCGAGGUGUGCAUUAUUCGUGAACAAGGAUGUUGGCCUUUGGGAUGGAGUAAGCGGGCAAGAGCACUACCAGCCAUCAGCGUGGAUUGAAUUGCCGACGACGGUGGAGCACAUGCGGGUCAGCGGCGGCUGGUAGAGGCAAGGGAACUGCAGCUUGCGCAAGCCGGUUGUGAAGUUGUGGUCGAAGCGAAGUUGAGUACUGUAGUGUGCUGUGCCUGGACCUUGACGGCGCCAAUGUUAUGUCCUAUAUUGUCUUCAAAGAUUGGCUGAUCGAAUCCCAACACCGAUUUUGCAAUUUACAUUGACCAUUGGUUGAGGAGUGGCCAGGAAUGGGCAGCAGAAGAUGCACAAAGUAACAAGAGGAGGGGCAA